rnacentral:tRNA from 1 species
GAGGGUAUAGCUCAAGUGAUAGAGCGCAUGCUUAACAUGCAUGAUGUCCCGGGUUCAAUCCCCAGUACUCCUC